AACGAACGCUGGCGGCAGGCCUAACACAUGCAAGUCGAACGCCCUAGCAAUAGGGAGUGGCAGACGGGUGAGUAACACGUGGGAACCUUCCCUAUAGUACGGAAUAUACCAGGGAAACUUGGAGCAAUACCGUAUACGCCCGAGAGGGGAAGAUUAUCGCUAUAGGAUGGGCCCGGCGUAGGAUUAGCUAGUUGGUGAGGUAAUGGCUCACCAAGGCGACGAUCCUUAGCUGGUUUGAGAGAACGACCAGCCACACUGGGACUGAGACACGGCCCACGACUCCUACGGGGAGGCAGCAGUGGGGAAGUAUUGGACGAAUGGGCGGCAAGCCUGAUCCAG
rnacentral:rRNA from 1 species